rnacentral:rRNA from 1 species
GACGAACGCUGGCGGCGUGCCUAACACAUGCAAGUCGAGCGAAGUGAGUACUACGGUACGAACUUAGCGGCGGACGGGUGAGUAACGCGUGGACAAUCUACCCUGUAGACUGGGAUAACACCUCGAAAGGGGUGCUAAUACCGGAUAAUGUCGAGAAGCGGCAUCGCUUUUCGAAGAAAGGAGAGAAUACGCUAUAGGAGGAGUCCGCGUCCCAUUAGCUAGUUGGUGAGGGUAACGGCCCACCAAGGCGACGAUGGGUAGCCGGCCUGAGAGGAUGAACGGCCACACUGGAACUGAGACACGGUCCAGACUCCUACGGGAGGCAGCAGUGGGGAAUAUUGUGCAAUGGGGGAAGCCCUGACACAGCAACGCCGCGUGAGCGAAGAAGGCCUUCGGGUUGUAAAGCUCAAUAGUAUGGGAAGAUAAUGACGGUACCAUACGAAAGCCCCGGCUAACUACGUGCCAGCCGCCGCCGUAACAC